rnacentral:rRNA from 1 species
UACGUAGGGUGCGAGCGUUGUCCGGAAUUAUUGGGCGUAAAGAGCUCGUAGGCGGUCUGUCGCGUCGAUCGUGAAAACUUGGGGCUUAGCCCUGAGCUUGCGGUCGAUACGGGCAUGACUGGAGUUCGGCAGGGGAGAACUGGAAUUCCUGGUGUAGCGGUGAAAUGCGCAGAUAUCAGGAGAACACCGGUGGCGAAGGCGGGUUCUCUGGGACGGUACUGACGCUGAGACGCGAAAGCGUGGGGAGCGAACAGG